CCCCUAAAAGAAAUGUGCCCGAACAUAAGGACUAUUUUGAUAAAAUAGACAUAGAGCCUAUCGAACCUC
rnacentral:tRNA from 1 species